rnacentral:lncRNA from 1 species
UUUGUCCCUAAAUUAACUUUCAUUCUUGCUUUAAAAGAGAAGGAAACUAAGCCUAAGUUAUUCUGUGGCCUCUCUGAGGCUGCACAAGAUACUGAGUGUGACAAUUCCCAUGAGAACCUAGGGGCUUCAAAUUGGAGCCCCUUUCAUGGUUCCUCCAGGCCUCCGCUCAGGGUCCCUACAUAUAGGAUGGUAUACUUAAAGGUGUUUGGGAAAUGAGGAGCCUGAAGCAUGUCCUGUGUGAUCACAUGGAGGUACUGUGUUGGGUGCCCACUGUGUGGCAGAAAGGAAACUUGAGAAUGAAUUUUAUCAAGAUUCUUGUUAACAGUAUUUGGUGUUGAUUUCCACCAAGGCACAAGGGUCUUUACAUAUGGUAGGCUGUGGAGAACCACUCUUGACCAUAAAUCUAGGUUAUAAAUGAGACUAAAUACAGAGAACACUGUAGUCCAUUGCAUAAAUAAGUAAUACCACUAUCAGCCAGGAAGUGCCAGGAAGUUCCUCUCGAUGCAGGCAUCCGGCCAUGACUCUCUAUCAUACAGUUUCUAUGUGUGCUAGUCUAUCAACUGGUGGAAAACUUCCUAAGGCUCUAAAGCUCCCAGUUCAAACCCAGUUCAUUCUCCAAGCAUGUAACUCCGGCCCUACACCAAUGGCCAGGAGGACACUGGCUUCACCUAGUAUAGGAUCUUGGGCUUCAUCCUCCUCUGUAAAUAGAAUCAGGGUUCCCCUCCUGCCUGUCUCAAUACUGUGGGGCUGGUGAUUUGACAUGCUGUGAAGGGCUUUCAGCCAAGGUGAGGUGUUUGGUACCCUCCGGUUCCAUGUUUCCAGAUGUGUCAAGGUAUUGCUAAAGUACAGCAUCAACCUGCUUGGAACAGUUAGUUUCCUUUGAGGUUAGAUUCUGUGUGGCUUUCAGGGGAAGCAAGGCCUUCGGGGAAAGAUGGGGUGGUUUGACAAAGUCAACUCCUUAAUGAUCUAAAGGCAUCCACUGUCUAUAAAGAAUUAGCUUAUCUCCUGUGCUUCUGAAACAAUACCAUCUCGUGAUCUCCAGGGGACGUGAGAAAAAGUUAUUCACAGUAUUUGCUGAAAUCCCUGCCUGAGAAAAGGAAGCUGAGCCGAGGGAAGCUGUGCAGGAACAGUUUCAAUUCCUUUCGAUCCCUGCCUUAAGAAGUUUUUGAGAAGUUACUGGCUUAAAAUGAGACAAAUGAUUAUCUGACAUUUCAGGAGGUCCGGCUCAUGUUUCACAUUAUCCACCACUUCUGCCUCCCAUCCUUGUGCUUUUCCCUUCCAGAGAACUUUAACAUCUAUUUCAGCCCCAACAGGUUUGAUAUAAUCAUGGCCAUCUUCUCCUCUAGCACUUUAACCUAAUGAUGUUCACCAAAAUCUAUUUUGUCACAUAAGAUAACCCAUCCAGGGGGCUAGACAUGGGAAUCUUUGGGGUCCAUUCUUUGGUCUACUACCAACACUAAAGAAAUAAACUUGGAUGGGCUUUCCCACUCUGGAUAAACAUCCUGCCCAUGUGGGAACUCUGCCUCAGUCUCCCUCUCUGUAAGUUAGAGAGAGAAUGACACCCCUGCUCUGCCAUUUAUAUCUAUAAAUAAAGUAGUUGUGGAUUAUUAAAUAAAGGUUGUUGAAUACGAAAUGGUUAUUAUACUAUGGAUUGACAUAAAUUACGCCUGCAUUAUUCAAUGGAGCCACUGCUAUCGUUGAGUUCCGUAGGGGAGAGAUUAGGGGAGCAUCUAUUAGAUUCUGUAGUUAAAUCGCACUAAAUGGUUCUUAAUAGCAAUUGACUUUGCCUUCAUUAGCAUAGAGCAAGAGAACUCCCCCUUUAAAACACCAUAUACCCGGGGCCUCCUCCUGUCUUUGGAGUAAUUGAAACGAAAUAGAGAUCCAGUAGCAACAACAGUGAGAGAGAAAGGAGAAAUGCUUGCUGUGGUUUUCUGCGUUUGGUCUGCUGCAGUUAGGAAGAGGUUUGCCGCCUGUACUUAGCUUUUUCUCCCCAGGCUUGUGCUUGAGUGUCUGGCUUUUGAAUGAGUAUCUGGUGAAAGAAGGUGGGGAACUUGGACAGACAGGAAGGCUGAGAACUGGAGGACCCAUUUGUUGGUCUGUCUUUACACUUGAUGGAGCAGGGUAGAAUAUCAGGCAUAUCACAGGACCAUUUUGCUCUUUGAAUUCAGUCAAUGUCCUUUAAAGUGGUCAAGAAGUCUGGUUCUUAUUAGAGAGUGUUUUAGGAGGGUGAGACUUUAGCUCUCCCUGUUCAGGUGACCCACAGGUGCAAAAAGAUUCCUGGGGAAGUUUGAGACCAUGAAGCACCUUCUCUGAGACCUUGGCCUGUCAAUGGCCAGAGGGGUCAGCUCUGCCUAAGCCAGAUCCUAGACCUCCCAGAGUCUGAAUAUACCACAGUCAACCUUCCAACUCCACUCAAAGAGCCAGAGAGGGAAACAAUCGGUAUCUCAUGGUAAUGUCUUGAAAUGGGUUUAUAAAGGGUUCAGCCCUCAAAGGACCUGUGUCCAAGAAGGAUUAUUUUGCCACUAAACUGUCCCAGGUGGGAGCAUCAAGAACAACUCCAGGCCUUGGGGCUUGGGGAAUUAAAGGAGAGGGACAAACUCUGAAAAUGAUUAUAAUCCCAUUAUGCACAGCUUCUCCUAUUUAUUUCUUCAUAUGGAUGAAUUUGUAUAUAUUUGCAUUUUGUUCUAUCUGAUAAUAUGCAUAGAAUUCAAAUUGAAAUGACUUGAAUAGAUUUGAAUAUUAAUGAGGCGUUUAAAGGCUGCCAUCCCUGGCAGAGUCCCCAACAAGGGAAUGUGCCAGGCAGAAGCUCAGAUCUGUCCUCCAGCAUGCCAACAGAAGCCUGCAGGCACAGGCUGGGAAACACCCUGAGGAUAGACUGCCCCUGGGGUAGAGCUGAAGGGUGCCCCAGUGCUCCGGGCCUGGACUCUUUCUACACUGAAGGGGCCAUUGAGCUUGUGAGCCUUGAGGCCUUAGACAUUCAGACACAGGUUAAAUAGCACUGUAAAAGGCAAGCUAUUUUCCAGACAUGCUUAACUGAUCUUCCCUCAGGGAGUCAGGUGGUAGGGAACAGGUUCUUUUCAGAGAACCUUUCUUCAGUGCCCCUAAAGGUGCUAGGCCUCUUCUUCUUACAUCUAGAACACACAUGAUUCUUUUUUGUUAUCUUCCAACUAAAAACAGCCAUUAGACUGCAUGCCCAAUGUGGGUCUGAAGGCUACAGAACUCUGCUAAGAAGUCAGCCUAUGUGUGUGCUCUUUCACAGCAGCAUGUUAGCACUAUUCAAGGGCCUGCUUUAGCCAAGGGCUGAACUUUAAGAAUAAAAAGAGAGAAUGUCUUGUAAAACUAAAGCGACCAUUAUAAUUCAACUGGUUAUUUUCUUUUUAAGUUU